AUGGAGUCCAGACUAAAACGUGUGCAGAAGGCAUGUCAUAAGAAAACAGGUCACUCCCCAGCAGUUCCAGCACAGCUCCCUAGAGCUACACAAGAAGAGAUCAUCUCCUCAAGAAGAGACCUCCCUGCUAGGACAGCAAAACUUCUGGGCCCCACGUAUUCAGUGGCAACUGUCUCAACUGGGUGUCCCAUCCGCUGCUGUGUUCCUGACUCUUUCCACCCCAGUCUUCGAGGUUCCCAGAAAACCUGCCUUCAGCAGACAUUGGAUCUGGGCCCAGCAAAGCAGGAGCUUUCGGGAGGCCCUCCAGCCCAUGACGCAGCGGAGCUAGCAGCACCUGCGCUUGGCAGGUACCACUUGGCUCUGCCGGUCGGGUGGGGUGGGGCUUCCUCUCCUCUAGCAAAUUUUCAUCUGUUUCAGUGUCUUUUCCCCUUUGCUGAGGAUUCCCCAUGGAAAAGAAGCCACUCUAGACAGUCUUGGAGGGAAGAGAGCAAACUCCUGAGCAGGAAUGGAGGUGGACCAGAGUCAGUAAGCCUUUCAGAAGACUUUGAAGGUCAGGUGCUGAGCUGAGGAAGACCUCCCGUUCCCUCAGUUUCCUUGCUCUCUCCCCGGUCCGACUACCUGGAUAGAAACUGUGCCAGUUGCAGUCAGGCCAGCGUGAGUCAUCUUCUGCCACUGUUUUCCUGGCACAAGGACUGUGCCGCUGCGUGUGGGUGGAAGCCGCGCACACAUAUGCACAAAUACGGCUCAAGCAUCACUCGGGACAAGGCCGACUUUGCAGAGCCGGGCGGCUGGAGCUGCCCCCGGUGCCCACCCCAGCUCCAGCAUGGACUGAGCAGCUCCAAGGCUCUGCACCCAUAGAGGGGGCCUCAAAUUGCCAGCCGCUGAGGGCUUUGAAAUGGUUGGACCCCCCCCCCCGAAGCCCUACACACACACCCCUUGGGUCAGAAAAUCAGGACGCUGGAGUGUUUCAUCUAGGAUAGGUUUGGGGAGAAAAGAGGACUGGGAUCUGGUGACCAGCUGUAGGGAUCAGCCAGCCAAAAUCGCUCUAGUCUCACUGCCGCUCUCCCCGCGCUGCUCUCUUCUCCCAUCCCUGCUUCAGACCCAGCGAUAGACACCAGUCCCCCCCCGCAUCCGCCUCCCCCCGCUCUUCUCUCCGCAGCCAGCCCAGGCGGGCUGGCAUCUGGCCCAGGCCUGCGGCACCUGCCUCCUCGCCAAGCACACCAGAACCCGGCAAAGCUUUCCACCCCUCUCAGCGCUGCCCGGGGUUCGGGUCAGGCAAAGGGGGGUGUUCAGCUUCAUCAGCCCCAAAGAGAGGCCAGUCCCAGGGUCCCCCCUUCCUUCCACAGCUCCUUUGGCAGCAAUAAAGCCCAGCGGCCGUAUACGCCGGAGUCGUCU
rnacentral:lncRNA from 1 species